UACGGGGGGGGCAAGCGUUGUUCGGAAUUACUGGGCGUAAAGGGCUCGUAGGCGGCCAACUAAGUCAGACGUGAAAUCCCCAGGCUCAACCUGGGAACUGCAUCCGAUACUGGAUGGCUUGAAUUCGGGAGAGGGAUGCAGAAUUCCAGGUGUAGCGGUGAAAUGCGUAGAUAUCUGGAGGAAUACCGGUGGCGAAGGCGGCAUCCUGGACCGACAUUGACGCUGAGGAGCGAAAGCCAGGGGAGCAAAGCGGG
rnacentral:rRNA from 1 species